rnacentral:rRNA from 1 species
GACGAACGCUGGCGGCGUGCUUAACACAUGCAAGUCGAACGGUAAGGCCCUUUGGGGUACACGAGUGGCGAACGGGUGAGUAACACGUGGGUGAUCUGCCCUGCGCUUCGGGAUAAGCCUGGGAAACUGGGUCUAAUACCGGAUAGGACCACUGCCUGCAUGGGUGGUGGUGGAAAGCUUUUGCAGUGUGGGAUGGGCCCGCGGCCUAUCAGCUUGGUGGUGGGGUGAUGGCCUACCAAGGCGACGACGGGUAGACGGCCUGAGAGGGUGACCGGGCGCACUGGAGCUGAGCAACGGCCCAGUCUCCUGCGGGAGGCAGGAGUGGGGAAUCUUGCACAAAGGGCGGAAGCCUGAUGCAGCGACGCCGCGUGAGGGGUGACGGCCUUCGGGUUGUAAACCUCUUACAGCGCCGGCGAAGCGGAAGUGACGGUAGGUGCAGAAGAAGGACCGGCCAAGUACGUGCCAGCCGCCGCCGUAAAAC